ACACUACACAGCUCAGUUUAUAUUGUCUGUAGGGGCUGGAUGAUACCAGGUCAGUUUAUAUUGACUGUAGGGGCUGGAUGAUACCAGGUCAGUACACAGCUCAGUUUAUAUUGACUUUAGGAGCUGGAUGAUACCAGGUCAGUUUAUAUUGACUGUAGGGGCUGGAUGAUACCAGGUCAGUUUAUAUUGACUGUAGGGGCUGGAUGAUACCAGGUCAGUUUAUAUUGACUGUAGGGGCUGGAUGAUACCAGGUCAGUUUAUAUUGACUGUAGGGGCUGGAUGAUACCAGGUCAGUUUAUAUUGACUGUAGGGGCUGGAUGAUACCAGGUCAGUUUAUAUUGACUGUAGGGGCUGGAUGAUACCAGGUCAGUACACAGCUCAGUUUAUAUUGUCUGUAGGGGCUGGAUGAUACCAGGUCACUACACAGCUCAGUUUAUAUUGACUGUAGGAGCUGGAUGAUACCAGGUCAGUUUAUAUUGACUGUAGGGGCUGGAUGAUACCAGGUCAGUUUAUAUUGACUGUAGGGGCUGGAUGAUACCAGGUCAGUUUAUAUUGACUGUAGGGGCUGGAUGAUACCAGGUCAGUACACAGCUCAGUUUAUAUUGUCUGUAGGGGCUGGAUGAUACCAGGUCACUACACAGCUCAGUUUAUAUUGACUGUAGGAGCUGGAUGAUACCAGGUCAGUUUAUAUUGACUGUAGGAGCUGGAUGAUACCAGGUCAGUUUAUAUUUACUGUAGGGGCUGGAUGAUACCAGGUCACUACACAGCUCAGUUUAUAUUGUCUGUAGGGGCUGGAUGAUACCAGGUCAGUUUAUAUUGACUGUAGGAGCUGGAUGAUACCAGGUCAGUUUAUAUUGACUGUAGGGCUGGAUGAUACCAGGUCAGUUUAUAUUGACUGUAGGAGCUGGAUGAUACCAGGUCAGUUUAUAUUGACUGUAGGGGCUGGAUGAUACCAGGUCACUACACAGCUCAGUUUAUAUUGACUGUAGGAGCUGGAUGAUACCAGGUCAGUUUAUAUUGACUGUAAGGGCUGGAUGAUACCAGGUCAGUACACAGCUCAGUUUAUAUUUACUGUAGGAGCUGGAUGAUACCAGCUCAGUUUAUACAGACUGUAGGAGCUGGAUGAUACCAGGUCAGUUUAUAUUGACUGUAGGGGCUGGAUGAUACCAGGUCACUACACAGCUCAGUUUAUAUUGUCUGUAGGGGCUGGAUGAUACCAGGUCAGUUUAUAUUGACUGUAGGAGCUGGAUGAUACCAGGUCAGUUUAUAUUGACUGUAGGGGCUGGAUGAUACCAGCUCAGUUUAUAUUGACUGUAGGGGCUGGAUGAUACCAGGUCAGUUUAUAUUGACCGUAGGAGCUGGAUGAUACCAGGUCACUACACAGCUCAGUUUAUAUUGACUGUAGGAGCUGGAUGAUACCAGCUCAGUUUAUAUUGACUUUAGGAGCUGGAUGAUACCAGCUCAGUUUAUAUUGACUGUAGGGGCUGGAUGAUACCAGGUCAGUUUAUAUUGACUGUAGGGGCUGGAUGAUACCAGGUCAGUUUAUAUUGACUGUAGGGGCUGGAUGAUACCAGGUCAGUUUAUAUUGACUGUAGGGGCUGGAUGAUACCAGGUCAGUUUAUAUUGACUGUAGGGGCUGGAUGAUACCAGGUCAGUUUAUAUUGACUGUAGGGGCUGGAUGAUACCAGGUCAGUUUAUAUUGUCUGUAGGGGCUGGAUGAUACCAGGUCACUACACAGCUCAGUUUAUAUUGACUGUAGGAGCUGGAUGAUACCAGGUCAGUUUAUAUUGACUGUAGGGCUGGAUGAUACCAGGUCAGUUUAUAUUGACUGUAGGAGCUGGAUGAUACCAGGUCAGUUUAUAUUGACUGUAGGAGCUGGAUGAUACCAGGUCAGUUUAUAUUGACUGUAGGAGCUGGAUGAUACCAGGUCAGUUUAUAUUGACUGUAGGAGCUGGAUGAUACCAGGUCAGUACACAGCUCAGUUUAUAUUGACUGUAGGAGCUGGAUGAUACCAGGUCAGUUUAUAUUGACUGUAGGGGCUGGAUGAUACCAGGUCACUACACAGCUCAGUUUAUAUUGACUGUAGGAGCUGGAUGAUACCAGGUCAGUUUAUAUUGACUGUAAGGGCUGGAUGAUACCAGGUCAGUACACAGCUCAGUUUAUAUUUACUGUAGGAGCUGGAUGAUACCAGCUCAGUUUAUACAGACUGUAGGAGCUGGAUGAUACCAGGUCAGUUUAUAUUGACUGUAGGGGCUGGAUGAUACCAGGUCACUACACAGCUCAGUUUAUAUUGUCUGUAGGGGCUGGAUGAUACCAGGUCAGUUUAUAUUGACUGUAGGAGCUGGAUGAUACCAGGUCAGUUUAUAUUGACUGUAGGAGCUGGAUGAUACCAGCUCAGUUUAUAUUGACUGUAGGGGCUGGAUGAUACCAGGUCAGUUUAUAUUGACUGUAGGGGCUGGAUGAUACCAGGUCAGUUUAUAUUGACUGUAGGGGCUGGAUGAUACCAGGUCAGUACACAGCUCAGUUUAUAAUUACUGUAGGGGCUGGAUGAUACCAGGUCAGUACACAGCUCAGUUUAUAUUGACUGUAGGGGCUGGAUGAUACCAGGUCAGUUUAUAUUGACUGUAGGGGCUGGAUGAUACCAGGUCAGUUUAUAUUGUCUGUAGGGGCUGGAUGAUACCAGCUCAGUUUAUAUUGACUGUAGGGGCUGAAUGAUACCAGCUCAGUUUAUAUUGUCUGUAGGAGCUGGACGAUACCAGCUCAGUUUAUAUUGUCUGUUGGGGCUGGAUGAUACCAGGUCAGUUUAUAUUGUCUGUAGGGGCUGGAUGAUACCAGGUCACUACACAGCUCAGUUUAUAUUGACUGUAGGAGCUGGAUGAUACCAGGUCAGUUUAUAUUGACUGUAGGGGCUGGAUGAUACCAGGUCAGUUUAUAUUGACUGUAGGGGCUGGAUGAUACCAGGUCAGUUUAUAUUGACUGUAGGGGCUGGAUGAUACCAGGUCAGUACACAGCUCAGUUUAUAUUGUCUGUAGGGGCUGGAUGAUACCAGGUCACUACACAGCUCAGUUUAUAUUGACUGUAGGAGCUGGAUGAUACCAGGUCAGUUUAUAUUGACUGUAGGGGCUGGAUGAUACCAGGUCACUACACAGCUCAGUUUAUAUUGACUGUAGGAGCUGGAUGAUACCAGGUCAGUUUAUAUUGACUGUAGGGCUGGAUGAUACCAGGUCAGUUUAUAUUGACUGUAGGAGCUGGAUGAUACCAGGUCAGUUUAUAUUGACUGUAGGAGCUGGAUGAUACCAGGUCAGUUUAUAUUGACUGUAGGAGCUGGAUGAUACCAGGUCAGUUUAUAUUGACUGUAGGAGCUGGAUGAUACCAGGUCAGUACACAGCUCAGUUUAUAUUGACUGUAGGAGCUGGAUGAUACCAGGUCAGUUUAUAUUGACUGUAGGGGCUGGAUGAUACCAGGUCACUACACAGCUCAGUUUAUAUUGACUGUAGGAGCUGGAUGAUACCAGGUCAGUUUAUAUUGACUGUAAGGGCUGGAUGAUACCAGGUCAGUACACAGCUCAGUUUAUAUUUACUGUAGGAGCUGGAUGAUACCAGCUCAGUUUAUACAGACUGUAGGAGCUGGAUGAUACCAGGUCAGUUUAUAUUGACUGUAGGGGCUGGAUGAUACCAGGUCACUACACAGCUCAGUUUAUAUUGUCUGUAGGGGCUGGAUGAUACCAGGUCAGUUUAUAUUGACUGUAGGAGCUGGAUGAUACCAGGUCAGUUUAUAUUGACUGUAGGAGCUGGAUGAUACCAGCUCAGUUUAUAUUGACUGUAGGGUCUGGAUGAUACCAGGUCAGUUUAUAUUGACCGUAGGAGCUGGAUGAUACCAGGUCACUACACAGCUCAGUUUAUAUUGACUGUAGGAGCUGGAUGAUACCAGCUCAGUUUAUAUUGACUGUAGGAGCUGGAUGAUACCAGGUCAGUUUAUAUUGACUGUAGGAGCUGGAUGAUACCAGGUCACUACACAGCUCAGUUUAUAUUGACUGUAGGAGCUGGAUGAUACCAGCUCAGUUUAUAUUGACUGUAGGGGCUGGAUGAUACCAGCUCAGUUUAUAUUGACUGUAGGGGCUGGAUGAUACCAGGUCAGUUUAUAUUUACUGUAGGAGCUGGAUGAUACCAGGUCAGUACACAGCUCAGUUUAUAUUGACUGUAGGGGCUGGAUGAUACCAGGUCAGUUUAUAUUGACUUUAGGAGCUGGAUGAUACCAGGUCACUACACAGCUCAGUUUAUAUUGUCUGUAGGAGCUGGAUGAUACCAGGUCAGUUUAUAUUGACUGUAGGAGCUGGAUGAUACCAGCUCAGUUUAUAUUUACUGUAGGGGCUGGAUGAUACCAGCUCAGUUUAUAUUGUCUGUAGGAGCUGGAUGAUACCAGGUCAGUUUAUAUUUACUGUAGGAGCUGGAUGAUACCAGGUCAGUUUAUAUUUACUGUAGGAGCUGGAUGAUACCAGGUCAGUUUAUAUUUACUGUAGGGGCUGGAUGAUACCAGGUCACUACACAGCUCAGUUUAUAUUGACUGUAGGGGCUGGAUGAUACCAGCUCAGUUUAUAUUGACUGUAGGGGCUGGAUGAUACCAGGUCACUACACAGCUCAGUUUAUAUUGACUGUAGGGGCUGGAUGAUACCAGCUCAGUUUAUAUUGACUGUAGGGGCUGGAUGAUACCAGGUCACUACACAGCUCAGUUUAUAUUGGCUGUAGGAGCUGGAUGAUACCAGGUCAGUUUAUAUUGACUGUAGGGGCUGGAUGAUACCAGGUCAGUACACAGCUCAGUUUAUAGUGACUGUAGGGGCUGGAUGAUACCAGGUCACUACACAGCUCAGUUUAUAUUGGCUGUAGGAGCUGGAUGAUACCAGGUCAGUUUAUAUUGGCUGUAGGAGCUGGAUGAUACCAGGUCAGUUUAUAUUGACUGUAGGGGCUGGAUGAUACCAGUAUUGCGAUACUUGUUACUAUCGUGGCAAAGAAUGGAAAAAACAAGAUUUAACGUUUUUAGGAACACAGCCCUACUGACGGUAAGAAACGUCAUGUUGUCAUCCAGUCACAUUUAUCCACAUCUUCCAAGCUACAGCACACUACUUUACAUACAGCAGGUUUAUCAAGGACCAGUGAUUGGUUAAUCACCUAGUUGAUCGGUUAACUGAUUGGUUGAUCAUUAAAAGUAGAUCGCUGCUCCAGCAGGUCAUUGUCGAGGAUAAACACCGUUGUGGUCCUUUUUGGCAACUAGAUGACAGGUGUUAACUCCAGCUAACUAGACACCUCGGCUCACGUCUCAACACGCACACGUCCAUCCUCUCCGCAGUAGCAUGCUCACAGUGGGUAAUCAGGCCUACAUGAACCCUGCUUGGUUGAGAUUGGCAGGGAGCAUGGAUAGUUGGAUACAGAAGCACUUUUUAUUUUAUAUUUUGCUAUGCUCUCUCUGACUUUUUUCCCCACUGACCCCUGUGUGA